rnacentral:rRNA from 1 species
UUAAGAUAAUCUUGAUAAAUUUUCAAUUAUCAAUUAUCAAUUUUCAUUCAAGAUCCAAUUAUCAAUUUUCAAUCAUCUGCUAUUAAGAGUAUUGAAAAUUGGUGCUUGAAAAUUAAAUGAAAAUUCUAAAUUGAAAAUUAAAAAUUUUCUCCGACCACCUAGUGGUCUUAAGCCCAAAGAGGAAUCGAGUAAAGAUUUAUCGGUACGGGAGGGUCCUGCGGCCUAUCAGUUUGUUGGUGGGGUAAUAGCCUACCAAGACUAUGACGGGUAGCUGGUCUGAGAGGACGAUCAGCCAGAAUGGGACUGAGACACGGCCCAUACUCCUACGGGAGGCAGCAGUGAGGAAUAUUCCGCAAUGGGGGAAACCCUGACGGAGCGACACCGCGUGAAGGAUGACACCCCUUGGGGCGUAAACUUCUGUUCUGAGGGACGAAAUUUUUGACGGUACCUCAGGAGAAAGCACCGGCUAAUUCCGUGCCAGCAGCCGCGGUAAGACGGAAGGUGCAAGCGUUACUCGGAAUCACUGGGCGUAAAGCGUCCGCAGGCGAUCUUUUAAGUCCGACAUUAAAAUGCGCAGCUCAACUGCGUAGUGUGCCGGAAACUGGAAGAAUUGAGUCACCCAGAGGCAUCUGGAAUGCCAUGUGAAGGGGUAAAAUCCGUUGAUCCAUGGUAGAACGCCAAAAGUGAAGACAAGAUGCUGGGGGUGUACUGACGCUCAGGGACGAAAGCGUGGGGAGCGAAGGGGAUUAGAUACCCCCGUAGUCCACGCCCUAAACUAUGCGUGCUCGGUGUUGGGAGUUCAAUCUUUCCCAGUGCCCCAGCUAACGCGGUAAGCACGCCGCCUGAGUAGUACGGCCGCAAGGCUAAAACUUAAAGGAAUAGACGGGGACCCACACAAGCGGUGGAGCAUGGGGUUUAAUUCGAUAAUAAGCGGAGCACCUCACCCAGACUUGACAUCCCGAGAACGUUCUAGAAAUAGAACAGUGCCGCAAGGAACUCGGUGACAGGUGGUGCACGGUCGUCGUCAGCUCGUGCUUUGAAGUGUACUGUUAAGUCAGCAAACGAGCGCAACCCUCAUCCUAUGUUGCCAUCAGGUUA